GAAGGUAUAAGUACAGACGGUGUUGGAUAGAGCGGCACCAAGUCGAGCCCAGUCUGCGCUCGUCUAACGGCCAGGAAGUAGCUGUCGUAACAUCACUGGCGCUGGAGGUCAACAUUCAUGAACAGAAUUCCACCCGGAGAACAACAGACUUAAACACCGACGGAGGCGCCUGAACUCUCGUCCAUAGAUUAGAUUCAGAAAUAUCCAUCAGCUUGGAAGUUAACAGCGGAAGCAGAGGCCUUCGCGUCAACCUUGACCGCGGACUAACUCCGCAUGGCGAUCACCUGGGGAAUGACCGAAGCUGCAAAGACGAGAAACUGUCCGUUCACGCACCAAAACCGCUCUCAGAAAGAAAACCCAGGAGUUCCACCGAGCUCAACAUUCAGUCAAUGGUCAGUCAGCUCAAAGCCGCACGACUUUGGUUGUCACAGCCAGUGAGGCUGAAACAUUCGGGGAAUCUGCAGGUCCUGAAGAACCGCUGGUUAGGAAGUUUAAAACACGAGAGCUUUAAGAGCCCGGUGUCCAAUAGUUUUCCAGAAUGGAAGCAGUGGCUUUGAUAUCUUCACAUUGAAGAUGGUGGGUGAUUUACCUUCACAAAAUAUUACUACUGUAUUUGUAGUUUCACAACACUGCACUAUAUUCACAGUGAAUAUGGGCAGCAGUUGGAGUGAUGUCGAGUUGCCCUGAUGGGUAAGCUGAGAAGGUAAUAUUCUCCGCUCUGAACCCAAAAGUCACUGUAUGGAUCUAAGUUCACAAUGCAGGCUCACGCUUCAGUGUACCACAAAGGGAAUGCUGCAUUAUUGGAAAUGCUCUGAUUUACUUGCCCAUGCAAAUGUUAAAAGACAAAACGGGCUGGUUUAAGGAACGUCUUAAAUAAUUGUUUCAAAUUCUGUGAAGCUCUAUGUGUCGCUGCUGCGGAUUCACAUGACAGCUGUUGAUGUGAAUUGGACAUUGAAAGUAAUUCUCUUGAUAAGAACGGUAAAUUGACAGCACAUGUUUUCAAAUAAAGUAAGUUUCUUUUGUAGCCAACUAGCAUAGCACAUUUCUUGUUUUACGCUGUACCUCGGGACACGUGACAAUAAUAAACUAAUUCCAACUGAAAUAUUGUAACUAUCAGUUUGUAAACUGAUUAUUAGCGCAUCACUUUUGUCCAAUAUUUUGACGAGUGAAUUGUAAAAGCUGAAGUUCCAUAUAACAUAGUGUUGUGAUCAAGUUCGUGAGUGGAACCCCUUCCAUCGUAAUUGGUCACAUGCCUUCAAAUGGAAGGAGAUGGGUUCUUUCUUAAAGGAAUAAUCAGACCCCCACUUGUGUAAUGCAGUUACAUAUAGCUGGGUUCUACAAUAUGGUAGAGUUUCUCAGCACUGCACAGUUCAUUCAGUGAAAAUAUAAAGUAAUCGGACAGAGAAUAAGAGGCUUAUCGACUUGUCUAAGUUGAUACGAUUCUCACCGCUGAGCACAAAAAUCCUGAUUUCAAGUGGCAUUCUUGUUAUGAGGACAAGAUCUGGCUCACACGUCAGUGUUGUAUCAGUGGAAUGCUGCAUCGUUAGGGGACCUGGCUGCUCCGCCCCACCAGACACAACAUGCAGGGAAACACACAGAUCUUAAUCACAUGGAGGCCAGAAGCCGACACAGGUUGGAGAAUCAAAUCGCUUAUUUUGUAACGUCUACGAAAAUACCUGUGUAAGAAAAUAAAAUUAUGUUACUCUA